rnacentral:piRNA from 1 species
UACAUACCUGCAAAUAUCCAU